GGUCUAUGAUGAUACACUUUUCAGCUUUACAUGCCAGUUCUGCUUCAGACAAGUCAUGAUUGAGAAAGCUGUUUAAUUCUGAGCUACC
rfam:Oryza punctata chromosome 8, whole genome shotgun sequence.